AACGAACGCUGGCGGCGUGCCUAACACAUGCAAGUCGAACGAGAAAGGGGCUUCGGCUCCGAGUAAAGUGGCGCACGGGUGAGUAACACGUAGGUAACCUGCCUCUAAGAUUGGGAUAACCUGUCGAAAGACGAGCUAAUACCAAAUAAGACCACGGUCUCUUCGGGGACAGAGGUCAAAGGUAGCCUCUAUUUAUAAGCUAUCGCUGAGAGAUGGGCCUGCGUACCAUUAGCUAGUUGGUGAGGUAACGGCUCACCAAGGCAAAGAUGGUUAGCUGGUCUGGGAGGAUGAUCAGCCACACUGGAACUGAGACACGGUCCAGACUCCUACGGGAGGCAGCAGUGGGGAAUAUCGCGCAAUGGGCGAAAGCCUGACGCAGCAACGCCGCGUGAGUGAUGAAGGCCUUCGGGUCGUAAAGCUCUGUCGGAGGGAACGAAUGCUCUUGAGGUUAACAGCCUCGGGAGGUGACGGUACCCUCAAAGGAAGCACCGGCUAACUCUGUGCCAGCAGCCGCCGUAAUAC
rnacentral:rRNA from 1 species